UUCCGGUUGAUCCUGCCGGAGGUUACUGCUUUAGGUGUUCGACUAAGCCAUGCAAGUCAUAUGUUCCUCGUGAACAUGGCAUACUGCUCAGUAACACGUGGAUAACCUGCCCUUGGGUCUGAGAUAACCCCGGGAAACUGGGGAUAAUACCGGAUGACGCAUAUGUGCUGGAAUGCUUUAUGCGUAAAACGGAUUCGUCCGCCCAAGGAUGGGUCUGCGGCCUAUCAGGUAGUAGUGGGUGUAAUGUACCUACUAGCCAACAACGGGUACGGGUUGUGAGAGCAAGAGCCCGGAGAUGGAUUCUGAGACAUGAAUCCAGGCCCUACGGGGCGCAGCAGGCGCGAAAACUUUACAAUGCGGGAAACCGUGAUAAGGGAACACCGAGUGCCAGCAUCAUAUGCUGGCUGUCCAGAUGUGUAAACUACAUCUGUUAGCAAGGGCCGGGCAAGACCGGUGCCAGCCGCCGCGGUAACACCGGCGGCCCGAGUGGUGACCGUUAUUAUUGGGUCUAAAGGGUCCGUAGCCGGUUUGGUCAAUCCUCCGGGAAAUCUGAUAGCUUAACUGUUAGGCUUUCGGGGGAUACUGCCAGGCUUGGAACCGGGAGA
rnacentral:rRNA from 1 species